GUGUUCCCAGGCAGCACCGCAUUCUGCUGGCCCUAGCAGAGUGCUUCGCUCCCUCGUGAAUGGCAGGAGGCAAUGACUCACACCCGUGUGGCCUGCGUUACGCGCUUGUGACGUCACGUGGCAACGCCACCACCAUCGCUGUAUUUCGUUACGAACUCCAGGGGUCACCGUAAAAAGGACAGUAAAAGAAGCCCCACGACAAGGCCUUGAAGACCAGGCGAUAGACGACCGACCGCCGUGUCAUCCUCAAUCAUUCAUCAUUGGGUGCGGUAUGGAGGAGCUAGGCGGCAGCACGACACAUUAGAGCAGCUGACCCCUGAUCGAACACGCUGAGUUACCGUGCCGGCGCUACCUGGGGGCGGACUGACACCAAAUGAAGAACAACAAUAAAAAAA